GCUAAGAGUUUAUUUUUAUUUUAUUUUUUGCUGACAAAGCAAGAGACUUUAUUGGGAAGGGGCACCCAGGUGGAGAGCAGGAGGGUAAAGGAACCCAGGAGGACUGCUCCACCACAUGGCUCACAGUCUCGUGUUUUAUGGGAAUGGGGUCAGUUUCUGGGUUGUCUCUGGCCAGUCAUUCUGGCUCGGGGUCCUUCCCGGUGGCGCACGCAUGGCUCAGCCAAGGUGGAUUCCAGUGAGAGGGAUUCUGGGAGGUUGGCAGGACAUAUAGACUGGAGUCUCCUCUCUCCUUUUGACCUUUCCUGAGUUCUUCCAGUUGGUAGUAGCUUGUUAGUUCUGCAUUCCUUACCAGGACCUCCUGUUUAAGAUAACUCAUGCAAGUGGUUACUAUGUUGCCUGGCCAUGGCAGGCAGUUUCAGUGUUUCCCCUAACAUCUCCUCCAUGAGAGACUUCAUACUCAAGAUAAUUCUUGGGAAUUGGAGCGGAGGUCACUUUCUUCUGUAACUACUUCCUGCUGAGAGUUGGCGUAGUCCUGCCUAGUCGAGUAGAAGUCUCUCUCUACCUGAUGUAAAUUGAGGUAUUCUGUGCCCGAAACUGGCGUUCAUCCUUGUAGUAACAGCAGUUUAGCUGAAACUGUUGGACCCUGUGGGGGAUGAACCUUGUAAGCAGUUGAAACAGACAAGGGCCAAACAGGAGGCCUAACAGGACGGUCAUCGCCAGGCCCAGAAAAGGCAGGCAAAAUUUGGGGUGAGGGCUGCAGGGUGUGACUUUCUUCUGAUCGAUUGGUAGUGAGGUAACAGGGCAGUGCUCCAGGAAUCUUGCCCUCAGCCUGAAGUUAACAUCCUGCACCUGGGUGGGGGCCUUAGUUCCUGCAGAACUCAAAGAUAUUGUUAUGCAUAGUCCUUGAGGUGGAACCAGGACCCUGCUCCUAGGCUGUACCACUACUUGACUGCUCCUCCCCUGUUUUUGCAUCCCCUCCCUUCCCUGAUUAGCAACUGUUUGAAUCUGCCCUUUGGAACUCAGGGAAGGUCAAGGAGGCUGAGUGAAGCCUAUAUCCUACAAACAAGAAACAGGGGACAGAGAAAGGUUUUGUACUCUGGAGCCCCCCAGAGUCCUGCCCAGUUCCAGUUCAGGGAACUGGGCGACAACAGUGCUGGCCACUUCGUGCUACAAUAGGGCAUAGUCCUGCCUCAAUUUGGAGAAUAGACACUGGACUGGAAAUAUUUCUGAUUCCCGAGUCCUGGAUCUGAGUCUUGUAUGAUUAAAAUCUCAAUCCCUUGGUCUGCCAUUUUGGUGUAACAGACCCAAUGAGAAGUAGCUGGAGGAGUGACAACGGGAUUUUAAUAGGCAAAAUAAACGUCAUUUCUUUUCAGGAGAAUAAGCCUGAAACACAGUCUGGACCUGGUGCUUUGGGGAGACUUGUAGCCACGUAGCCAGUUGCCUAGUUUGAGGUAUCUGGAAAAUGAAGCUGCAUUUGGGGCACAUUACAGAUGAGGAAUGAUCCAUAUGUGCUGGGUGUCAUACAUUUCAGAGAGCAUAAAGUAUACAUUCUCACAGAGACAGGAGUUCGAAAGUUGCCUGGUCCACAGAAACAACCGGCUAGGUAAAAACUUGUGCAUGUGAUUCUGGAUAGGGGUUCAGCGCCCGUCUGUUGGUUAAGCAAUCUGUCUUUGGUUUGGCAUCUGCCUCUGUGGUGGGCUGUCUCCUGAGCCUUCACUUCCGUCUUGACUGAGGUGGUCCACUUUGCAGAGCUUUCUGCUGUUGGUGCUGCUUUACCUGAGUCAGAAUUUCCUGAAUUUUUCUCUGGGCAACCUGCAGUAGGAGAGAGCUUUGAAAUUUCUGCCUGAUCAAGUAUGACCAAAAGUUAAUUUACUCUUCCAUUUCAACAACUUCAAAUUGAAAUUUAUUUGAAGAUUAGAAGAUACAUACUUAAUAGUUUCCUAGCAGAGUCUCUGAAAUCACCUGCUAAAAGGGGGAUUAAAAGUGUUAAGCACCAAGCAGCCUGAAAUAUUUAUAUGACAUGGGGACACGCAUGGGAGGAGGAUCCCUCAGGAAGAAGAAAGCAGCAGGAGAGCUCACUUAUCACACUAGAGCCCACUUGCCUGGCAAGCAUAGAAGUGACCAGUUAUUUUGACGACCACUUGGUCGUUCUCAUCAGGCGUCUGGUCACGAGGGACGACAACUUCUGCGCUUGACAAAUUCUGGAGCUCAUUCACCUGAAGGAGAUAAAUACAAAUCAUGUUAAGUGGAGUUCUUUUUUUUUUAAAUUACUAUUUCCUUACUAUGUACCAAAAUACUGAGCUUUGGCUUUAUAAUCUCAUCUAAUAAUACUAAUAAUUCUAUCCGUUUAUUAGUAUUGUCCCCAUUUCAAGAUAAUUAAAACUAAGCCUUAGUGAAAGAAACUGACUCGCCCACAGUUGCAUAAGUUAAUGACAAAACCAGAUUUAACCCCUGAAAAUCUGAUUCCAAAAUACACACUUUCAAUCACUUCAGAAUUGUAAAUAGCUUUGCAAAUGACUUGGAAGUUUUAUGUGUUAAAGAGAAACUGGAAACCAUUUGCUUUUUUCAGUUACAGAGGUAUAAGUUAUAAAUGUAGAUGAGAUUUUUUAAAGUUUCUUUUCAUGUCCUUGUUUGCACAAUAAAAGUAAAAAGCUGAUGCAUAUCAACAGAAAAUGCAAAAUGCCCCUUAUAAAUAUGAGACAGUUCUCCCAUACAAAGUGGUCUGAAAGAGAGGCACUGCUUUCACUGGUAGCUGACACCAACACUCAGGAGGAACAAAAGGCAAUCUUCUCCAAACCUUGGCCCGGGCGGUCCUGCUUUUUAUAAGUUAGCCAAAAUUUAGGGACUUGGAACUCCUAAGUACCUUUCAACGCUUUCCCUUUCAUACCACUGCACAGGUUUUGCUGAAGUACUUGCCGUUUUGCCUCCUUUUCCAAUAACUCUGCCAGCAGCAAAGGAUGGCACUCUGAUGUGAGCUUCAAGUUUCACCUCUUCUUUAGGACUAACAAAGUUUUCUUCUUUAAUUUUUCCAUAAAUUCUUCCCUGAGCCUACAGAUGAGAACAUAUCUCAUCAGUGUCAUUCAUGUAGGAAACGCAAAAAGGUCCAUUAACUUUAAAGAUGGCCCGGAUCCACUGGAACAGACCUUUGCAGUGAUACAUCUGCAUUUGAUAGAUUGUGGAACGUUGCACAAGAGGUGGAAAAGUAAGGAAGUCCUAGAAAAGGUUGACAACAAUAAUAACUAUACAUCACAGAUGAGGCAAUUGAAUGAUCGAUGAAAUAAGAUUAAACCAUAUUCUUCUGACAAAAACGGUUAAAGGCAAUAAGUUAGCAGUCAGCCUAACUAAAAUAAAUAAAUUUUUGCAAAUGACCAUUUGCUUUCCAGACUUGAAAGGUAAAACCUCUCCUGCUGGCAGUAAGAUAGUAACUGCAUUUUUCUUGAGUAAGAGACUUCAGAGGAACUACAGAGCCACCUAUUUGAGGCUCACAAGAAGCCAAGCCGCUGUCUAAAUGGGCCAGCAAGGAAUUUUCUAGUUAAACAUUUCUUCAUCUUAGCCAGAUGGUUUCUACUUCGACUAAGGCUACAAAAUCAAGUUAACAUGCACAUCUGACAGUUACAGUCAAACAUAUCCUGUCACUUGCUGCAUACAACUAGAAGUUAUACAUAGUAUACCUCUCCUAUUAUGUACAACCAUUAAUUUGCUCUGGUAUACACCAAAGGAAAAAGAAGUCAGAGUUGGUUUCAUCUGACAAGCUGCCACAGCAGAGAACAAAAACAAAAGUACCCAACACGUUUUCAUUGGUGCAGAAAUGAUAAGCUCAUUUUAGGGGGUUACAGCAAAAAAAAAUCCAUCUUGUACCCUAUCUUCCAUUCAUCCUCAAAGUCUCAGGCCACAGAUGUAGCUAUCAACACAGUCAAAGGACGCAACGGAUAUACAUUGUCCUCCGAAACAAGCUCUUGAAUUCAUAAGAAAAAAUAUGGGUUAGGAGGUUUACUAUUACUUAGAUGUCUAAAAUAAAAUAAUUUAUUUGUAAUUAUCACUGAUCACAUAAAUGACAUUUAAGCAUUAUAGCUUUUCUUAAACAUCCCAUUUAAGACAACUGAACAACACAGGCAUAGGAGGAUACAGGGAAACAAACUCUGAAUUCCCCAGCAUACAAGCAUUAUGAAAAUUGCUAGACAGUUAAUUCCAUUUAUAGGAUAAUAAGACCAUAAUUGAUGUUUGUAUUUAUCUUUUAGUAUUUCAAACUAAAAGUGACUGGCUCUGUAAGUCUGGGAUAGGAAGCAGUUGUCAGCAUCUCUGAGUUUUGAUCUGAACUGCCUGGAACCACAGGGCUGGUAUGAGGAAGUACAUUCCUUGACCCAAGUUUGAGUCUAGCCAACUGUACCCCACAUCUCAAAGCACCUUCUUAUGUUUCCUGUUCUUCCUAUAAAUGAAGUGAAAAAAGCUUUGGAUUUUUAGUGAAAAAUGGCCCAUGGAAAAAUAGAGGUCAAAGAAAGUGAUGGUUUAAAAGGAGGGAAGAGGUGGGCACUUGUUAACUUAAGAGAAGUAAGGCUUAAGGUUAAAGAGUUACCCUGUUAACACAGCUGCUAAGUGGUAGGAACAAGACAGGGGUUUUGGAUAAAUUACACUGAAUUGAGUAGCUGCUUUUACCUGUGACAAACAAGACACCCUACUGAGUUUUAUGAGAGAAAUCACAUACUCAAAGGUAUAUUUGUGAAUUUGAGGAUCUGGCAGGGUCUUAGUCUGAUUCAUCCCGAGUCUGCUCGGCACCACCACCAGCACAUUUAUGUUGUACUUACUAUGUGUCAGGCACUAUUCUAAGUAAUUCACAUAUUGUUUAAACCUUAUAUAUUGUUUAAACCUUAGAACCUUGUUUAAACUUUGUGGGUGUUUUUAACCCCGAUUUUAUAGAUAAGGAACUAGGCGGAGAAAGGUUAAGUAACUCGCCCAAGGUCACACCACUGGUAAAUGGUAGAGCUGGGAUUUGAACCAGCAGCCUGGCUACCGAGUCUCUGCUCUUCACCACCCUGCUACACCACCUCUCAGGACACGGUGGGAGGCAUUCCAGCCCCAAAGGCCCCAAACCCCAGUAUGACCAAUGGUUCACACCAGGACAAAUCCCGUAAGAGUUCCUGCCAUUUCUACCUCUAAAAUUCAAAAGAUUAGAGUGGCUUGUUGACCAACUGUGGACAAGGGCUAACAGUUAACCCAAGGGUAAGAGCAAACGGGGACAUUUUAAUUCAAGGUUGAGGCCUCUCUGGGACAAGAGGAAAAACUUGAGAACAACAAGGCAUGUGAAUCAGACUUGUAAAUUUCAGUCUUAAGGUCUCACCUUCACACAUGCUAACAGGACACUGAGCAAAUUCUCCUUUGGGAGACAGGCAAAACCAACAACCAUUACAAAACUCUCAAAAUUGAACAAAGGCUUUGGUUUAUUUUUAAAGUGUAAUUUGCGGUAUGUUUCUACUCUGUUCUUAGUCUUAGAAAUUUCCAUUGAGAGAUUCUUUCUACUGAUUAUUAGAUUUAUUUACAGGAGAAGCCAGGUUACGGAGUUUCCGAAAAGAAGACAUCCAUUCGUUUGUUACCUGUGCACACACUCCAGAGCACAUACCUUGAACUGAGCCUCUGGUGGCCCAGUGAUAAUCACCAUCCUCACUUUAGCAUCUGGUGCUUCAGCUGGAGCGAUCUGUAACAGACCCAGUAAUGGGUUAUGACACUUUCAGGUGCCACUAAUAGAAAUGUUACACCAACCAGCCUGUCAUUUUGCACAUGACUUACUGAAAUGUAGAAUGAAAGCCUUCUGGAAGGUAGUUACAAAGAGGCAGUGAUUAAUGUGGAUUCAUUAGUUAUGGCUCCUGCUAUAUACUGUGUACUUACACUGUGCCUGGCCCUAAUGUAAAAGUCCAGAUGCAACCUCUACCUAACCCUCACUAUUUCCUGAUGAGGUACUGCCUCGUGGAGAGACCGGAGGCUGGAGAAGGUGAGUCACCUGGCCCAUGAUCACACAGGCCAGUGGAGCUGGAGGGAGAGCUGGCUCUGGCUCCGCCGUCACAUUCCUCGUCACUACACCAGUGGGUGCUCAAAGGGUGGUCCUUGGCCCAUGCGCAUCACAACACCCUGGGCCUCCUGUAUGUGCACAAAACUGCUAGGUUCCCCAGUCUAAGACUACUGGUACAUUCCCCCAAAGUACGCUCGCUGGAGUAACAUAUGGAAUAAACUAACAUUAAUUUGGCAGAAGAAAAGUAAACUCAGACUUUUCUAUUUUGGCAGAGCGUGUGAAAUCACACAAAAAGCCUGGGCUGGGGAAAUGUUGCAGAGACUGUUGAAGGGAGAGGAAACCAGCAUUCCUCUAGUAAGAAAGAAUUUGGGGAGUUGGCUGGUAGGAAUUGUUUUAAAAGAAAAAAUUUUGCUAGAUAUUUGCUGUGCAAGAAGCAAUUCCCUAUAGUAAAUAAUGAGAAUAGGAAGCAAAAAAUACAAUAAAAGCCAUCCCAACUACCACUCAGUAUGAUCACUGUCAAUUACUUAUAGUCUAGUAUAGGCCCUUCCACACACGUUUAUAAUCAAAACAAUGUUUUUUUACUUUUAAUAGACUCAUGCUUUCUCCCUCCCUCAAAAUAAAGCUAACAUUUCUGUUACUUAGACCCAAAUUAAUACUAUUCCUACUUUAUGCUGGGCACUAAUUUUGAGUCUGUAAAACAAGCCAAUAAUUACUUCCUUUUAGACCACACUCUUAGGAAACCCCAAAAAGAAGGUGGUAUUCUUCAUCUUUCUGACUAAGGUUUGGUUUUUUAAAAAAGGAUCUUUGUCAACACUGGUGAUAGAGGGCUGGGGCUGAGGGCACUCGUACACUGAGGUUAGGAGUACAAAUUGCUAUAAUCUCUCAAAAGACUGAAAAAAAGCACAUGCCCUGUGACUCACCAAAUCCACUUUUAAAGGAUGAGGUUAUAAAUGACAAUUUGACCAAAAGAACUUUGUCUACCCCUGUGCAGGAUAAAUUAGGAACAAUCUUAAUGUCCAGUAAGUUAACACAAAUGAUUAUGGUUUGGUAAUACCAAAUAUAUGCCUAUUAAAGUAAGUACAUACAUGGAAAUGUACAUUAUGGAAAUCUAGCAAAGUGUUAGGAGCGCUGAUGAAUCUUUCAGAUUAUGCAUGUUUCAGACUUCCUGGAAACAAAAAUAUUUUAACCUCAUCAUAAAACCUUCAUUAAAGCCAGAAAGAAAAAGAGCCGAAUGUCUAAAUACCCAAUUCUUCUUGGUCAUGAAAUGUUUGUUGCAGUUUUUCCAAAACAAAGCUGCUAGGUUCUUUUUGCAUGUGUGAGCAUGUUUUAAAGAUUAACUCAGUAAUCAGGAAACUUAACAGGAUGGUAAAGUUAGUUCACUGCUUGGUCUUUUAUCAUGUCUUUUCCUUUACCCAUUUAUUUAUUUUGGCUACAUUUUCUGCUCACGUAUUUUGUUAUCUUUUGCUACAAGAGAGAAUAUGAGGGCUUUCCUGUGUGUUUUGCUUUUUUAUUAACUGUGUAGUUUACAUACAGUAAAGCUCACUCCUUUGGUAACAAAUUCUGUCACUCAAAAUUUCCUCAUGCUGCCUUUGUUUUCAACCCCUCCACCUCAAACUCUUGGCAGCCACUAAUUUUUUUUUCUCCAUUUCCAUAGUUCUGUCUUUUCCAGAAUUUUCAUAUAAGUGGGAUCAUACAGUAUGUGGCCUUUUUGAGUCUUCUUUCUCUUAGCAUAAUACAUGUGAUUCACUCAAGUUGUUGUAUGUAUCGAUAGUUCCCUCCCUUUUACUGCUAAGUAAUAUUUAUUAUAUAGAUGGGCCACAGUUUAUGCAUUUGCCAGCUGAUGAACAUUUGUCCCAGUUAUAAAUAAAGAUACUAUAAACAUUUGAGUGCAGUGUGGUUUUUUUGGUACUAUA